CUCUUGAAGGUCAGCUCCCUCCAAUUGGUACCCUGGCUCUAUUGUCCUGUACCCAGGAUAAUAAGUUUAAUCAGCACCAAUAGGACCCAGUUCAAAGGAGCAAGUCUGUGAUAUAUACUGGCUUUAAGUAAUAUAAUACAGAGAACAGUCUGAUUUCACCUAUUUUUUGCCCGAUUUGAACUUUAUUUAUUUUUUUACUUUUCAUUUUUUUAGCUAUCUAUGAAUGGUUUAUUGUGACCUAGAAACAGUCGCUUUGGAAACAAACCCUUGAUACUUGUAAUUCCCAAGCAGGCAGUUCUCAGGCUCUGCCCACUCCUAUACAGAGAGUCUGCAGAGCCAUAUCUCCCCAGGUUCUUAAGGAGUUCUUAUUUCAAAAUAAUUGUUUGCUGAUUUGCAUAGAAAUAUUUUCUAUGGAAGAAUCAUGCUUGGGGUUUCACUGUUGUGUUUUUGCUCUGGUCUUAGAGAUUACCACAUGCUUCCCUCACCCCCAUUCCUUAAAUUUUAAUUUUUUAUUGGAUAUUUUUUAUUUACAUUUCAUCUAAUUCUGAGUUCAUGAGCUCAGAUGGUUAUUUUUUCCAUGGGCCAUGCCCUACCACAGGCUGGAUGUUGAAUUGCCUAUACUUCAAUCUGAACGUGGGAUGAGAAUGAUGGCUGUGCAUUAAAUGAACAACUCAAUAUGUGACGCCAUGGAGAAGUACAAGGAGCUCAUACAAGAGAACAAUUCCUACACAUCAGGCACUUCCAGCUCCUGCGUGAACGGACUCCAUAGAAGAACAAUAUAAAGAUUUUGCUGUAUGAGAACAAAAAACUGAUGGUGGAGCAGACUGUUCUGCCAGCAUCCUGUGUGGAGGCAAAGAGGUUCUGUGAAGAGGCCGGAAUGAACAUCUGUGUCCCCAGAGCCAAGCAGUUGCAGGUCCAGCAAGUAUCUGCAUAGCAAGAUUUCCUGAAGUGGAAAUGAGUACAGGCCAGGGCAGCACAGCCUGCUUGACUGUAAGAGACUUGUACAUAACAUAGCUCCCACUAAUUCUUCAUUCAACAGAAAACCUGCUGGAUAAAAGGUAUGUUUUCCUUAGUGUGUGUGUGUUUGUGUGUGUGUGUGUGUGUGUGUGUGUGUGUGAAUGUGUGUGUGUGCAUGUGUGUGUAUUUGUGUUUUAGUUUGUGCAAAAAUAUAACUGUGUUGCCUAUUUCCAAGUUUACUGAGAAAACCACUCUGAGAGUUCACUUUGCGUCAUGAAACAUCAAAUACAGCAGCCCAAUCAUUUUGGCCUCUCCUCCUAGCUCUGUACAGCAAAAGGACACAAAAGCACUUGUAAAGUUCAAUUUUAACGGUAUUAGGGGCAAACCUACCAAUCUGCAUUGAAAUCCUUUGGAGCACAUUAAAGGAAUGGAGUACAUGGAGGUAAGGGGGAGGCUUCUCUAUAAAAUCCAUGAGUUUAUAUUCCUUCUUUGUCCUUUGUGAAUUGUGAAAGCCCACUGAAAGGUUAUGUCACUCACUGUGUCUUCUCCAAGCUUGUUUUACACAUUGCCUGCUCCCAUUUCUUUCCAGCUACCUUGGCACAGUACAACUUCACCUUGGAGUCUGGCUUGGAUUGUAUUCACUGAGAAAUUGAGUUGCAUGGAGUUGUAUUGGCAUCCAGCAGAAGCCCCAUAGCUGUGCUGUGGUUCAAGAACAGGGCAGGUUCAGGAGCGGCUUUAGAUGCACAAAUAACCUAAAGCAUCCCCUGUGUUAUCUGUGUAGCAUUCUGCAAGGGCUGUUAGUCAACAUCAUUUUCUCUGAGUUAAAGUCAGCCUCAGUGGGGGAUAGGAGGAAUGAGGAUCUUAAGACAGGUCUGGUAGUGUAAGAACAGGUAGGCCUAUGAGAAGCCAUGUACAGAAAUUGGAACAGAAGUUUUAGUUGACCCAAAGAUUACAGAACAAGGAGUAGGUGUCAACAGAGCAACUAGGGCUCAUCAGUGCUGUGGUAGUCCCCGAGCAGCCCUGAAGGAGAAUCUGUCCAGACGUCCAUCAGCUAAGGGAGUGAAAAUGUACUAUACGGUGGGGCCAUUCCAUGCAUUAUGACUCAGUGUAAGAUAAUCCAUGCAAGCAUUUACUUACUUACUCAAAAUAUCUGUGACACAAUCACAUUAUGGGGAGAAAAACUGUUCAUUUGUAUCCUGGGUAUGGAGAUUUCCUAUGAUUCUGUUCCAAUAGCCUUGGGCACGAAGUCAUUCAAGUUAAGGUAAAGAGAGCUGCUAUUAGAAGAAGCUGCACACUUUGGGGGCAAGCCUGAAACAGUGGCCAAGAACAGAGUCUAAUCCACCACCAACAUAUGAUCCUUUGCUGGGAAACAAGCCUGCUCUACACAGCCUUGGGAACGAGCUAAGCCAGAUUGGGGAAUAAGGCAAGGACCAUGAUUCUAUGUUGGUUUAUGGGAGGACAGCACAACACUGACUGAGUUGUUUAUAGGCUAUAGGCUAUGCCUGCUAUGUACAUAUCCCACUCAACAUUUGUUUUUAUGCCUUCAGAGAAUCCUGGGGGGUCUUUAUAUUAAGGAUUACCUCAGAAAGUAAACACUUGACUGCAAUGUACUAUGCUUAUAUUGUGUGAACACACAUGUGUUCUGUGUUUGGGAGUGUGUAUUAGUGUUUCUGUGUGUCUGUGUGUGUUUGUAUGUGCACACAGGUAUGCAUGCCUCCACUGACAUUACACUCAUCUAAUGACCAGAAUAAGGAAGGAUUAGAGGAAACAAUGCAGGACACUCUGAAGCAGAGAGAACUGAUCACCCAGGAAAGUGACUUGGGAGAAACAGUGUAGAAGAAUUGUGACAUCUUUGAGAUCAGUACUGUGCAUAGUCCACAGUUCGAUUUCUAGCUGUUUUUAAAAGCUGAUAUAUAAAUCGAAGCCCAUUUACUCUAUGACACUUGGGGAUGCAGGAAAUGACCUCAGUUGACAGGUCUAAAAUUCUCCAGCGAAACUCGAACAUGGCAUAGACCAGAACAAGAUCUCCCUUGGAGAGCAGUGCCACAGGAGGAGUCUAAGUGUGCAC
ensembl:lncRNA